rnacentral:tRNA from 1 species
GGGGCUGUAGCUCAGUGGUAGAGCGCCCACCUCAUACAUGUGAGGCACUGGGUUCAAUCCUCAGCACCACA